CCUACGGGAGGCAGCAGUGGGGAAUAUUGGACAAUGGGGGGAACCCUGAUCCAGCGACGCCGCGUGAGUGAAGAAGUAUUUCGGUAUGUAAAGCUCUAUCAGCAGGGAAGAAAGAAAUGACGGUACCUGACUAAGAAGCCCCGGCUAACUACGUGCCAGCAGCCGCGGUAAUACGUAGGGGGCAAGCGUUAUCCGGAUUUACUGGGUGUAAAGGGAGCGUAGACGGCGAGGCAAGUCUGAAGUGAAAGGAGGGGCCCAACCCCCGGACUGCUUUGGAAACGGUAUGGCUGGAGUGCAGGAGAGGUAAGUGGAAUUCCUAGUGUAGCGGUGAAAUGCGUAGAUAUUAGGAGGAACACCAGUGGCGAAGGCGGCUUACUGGACUGUAACUGACGUUGAGGCUCGAAAGCGUGGGGAGCAAACAGGAUUAGAUACCCUUGUAGUC
rnacentral:rRNA from 1 species